rnacentral:tRNA from 1 species
ACCAUGGCUCAGAGAUAGAGCCUCCGCUUGGCAUGCAGAUGGUCCCAGGUUCAACCCCCAGUAUAACCA